GCCGUGUGCCCAGGCGCCUGGCGUCCGCGUCGGCGAUCCGGGGUCUGGGCGCGGCGAGGUCUGGUGUGGCAGAUGUGGAUAGCUGGACCCUCCUGGGUGCCUCUGCGUUAUGUCGUUUGGUUGAUGCAUUUGGAGAGAAUCUGUGCUCUCCACAACUGCAGGGGCAACAUGCUUUCCUGGCCUCUUCAGAUCAGGGUGGCUGUUCUUGGGUGCUGCACCAAAACUCCAGCAGUGGGCUUUCUUCAAGGCAGGGGUUCCUAACAUCUACAUCGGUCAUUCGGACAGCCUUGCUUUUGGUUCACUGCCUUACACGGGGCUUCCAGAUGUUGACCUGCUUCAUUUUACAGUAUCAGGAAAUCACUUUCCCCUCAGAAAUGGCCGGCUCACCUCAUUCCUGCCAAGACCCAGGUCCGUGUUCUCACAGUGCUGCCAUCUUUCCUCCGUGUGAGCGUGGGCUGUGCGGAGAGUGGACCUCGGUGUGUGCGGGGCUGCGUGCACUGCCAUCGCUCCCUCUACACGAGCCGGCGUGGACCCAGGGCUGAGCUGUGACCACGAGGGCCAUCCCGACGAGCCGCCAUGGACCCAGGGCUGAGCUGUGACCAUGAGGGCUAUCCCGACGAGCUGCCGUGGACCCAGGGCUGAGCCGUGACCAUGAGGGCCAUCCCGAAACUGUGAUUGUUUUCUGAUGAAGAAACCAAGGCUUUGUGACUAACUCAACCCCUCAAGAAGGACAAAACUAGCAUCAGAGCCCCUUGCUCCUGGGUCUGGCAAGAAUGCCUCUUGUUUGCUGAGAGGUCCACAGAUUUACCCGGCUCAAGACUGGGAGAUGGGAGGUGACCAGGAUCCUCAGGGAUUUCCUAGGCUUCCACCCUCACCCAGACAUCACUGGACCGUCACUGAAACACCCGCUUCCAGUGUGCUCAGGUCCUGCAGCCUCCUGUCCAUCCUUGCCCCGCCUCCCGCCCGGAGGAAAGACUCUGACACUGCCCCUGGAAGAGGGAGGAGAGUGGAUGUGAUGAGUGAAGAUUUGGGUGGGGAAAGGAAGGCCUGAGUCCUGGGAGGAAGAGCUCUCCCCGCCCCGAGCCCCCGGAGACUGUGAGCAAGGCUGAGACGCCUCCUUCCUGGUGCUCAAGCUGCAGGUGUUGGAUAGGCCUCCAGAAGCCCAGAUUUUAAAUGACCGCUCCAGGUUAACCUGGGGAUGGUCAGGCAGAACAAGGAGGAGAGGCCAGCAGUGAAGGGCAGGGCUGGUGGGCAGUGGCUGGGGGU
ensembl:lncRNA SNAI3-AS1 SNAI3 antisense RNA 1